UACGUAGGGUGCAAGCGUUAAUCGGAAUUACUGGGCGUAAAGAGUGCGUAGGCGGCUAUGUAAGACAGAUGUGAAAUCCCUGGGCUUAACCUAGGAACUGCAUUUGUGACUGCACGGCUAGAGUGUGUCAGAGGGGGGUAGAAUUCCACGUGUAGCAGUGAAAUGCGUAGAUAUGUGGAGGAAUACCGAUGGCGAAGGCAGCCCCCUGGGAUAACACUGACGCUCAUGCACGAAAGCGUGGGGAGCAAACAGG
rnacentral:rRNA from 1 species